UCGAGGGGCAGCGGGAAGGUUAGCUUGCUAAUCUUUGCCGGCGACCGGCGCACGGGUGAGUAACACGUAUGCAACCUGUCCGGUACAGGGGGAUAAGCGGCGGAAACGCCGUCUAAUACCGCGUGACAACCCGAGGGGGCAUCCCCUUGGGUUCAAAGGAGAGAUCCGGUACCGGCUGGGCAUGCGGCGCAUUAGCUAGUUGGCGGGGCAACGGCCCACCAAGGCGACGAUGCGUAGGGGUUCUGAGAGGAAGGUCCCCCACACUGGAACUGAGACACGGUCCAGACUCCUACGGGAGGCAGCAGUGAGGAAUAUUGGUCAAUGGGCGCAAGCCUGAACCAGCCAAGUCGCGUGAGGGAAGACGGCCCUACGGGUUGUAAACCUCUUUUGCCGGGGAGCAAGCCUGAGCACGUGUGCCCAGGCGGAAAGUACCCGGAGAAAAAGCAUCGGCUAACUCCGUGCCAGCAGCCGCGGUAAUACGGAGGAUGCGAGCGUUAUCCGGAUUUAUUGGGUUUAAAGGGUGCGCAGGCGGGCUGUUAAGCCGGCGGUAAAAAUUCAGGGCUCAACCCUGUCGAGCCGUCGGAACUGGCAGUCUUGAGUGGGCGAGAAGUAUGCGGAAUGCGUGGUGUAGCGGUGAAAUGCAUAGAUCUCUCGAAAAACGCCGAUUGCGAAGGCAGCAUACCGGCGCCCAACUGACGCU
rnacentral:rRNA from 1 species